CCUACGGGUGGCUGCAGUGGGGAAUAUCGCACAAUGGGCGCAAGCCUGAUGCAGCCAUGCCGCGUGUGUGAAGAAGGCCUUCGGGUUGUAAAGCACUUUCAGCGGGGAGGAAGGCGUUAAGGUUAAUAACCUUGUCGAUUGACGUUACCCGCAGAAGAAGCACCGGCUAACUCCGUGCCAGCAGCCGCGGUAAUACGGAGGGUGCAAGCGUUAAUCGGAAUUACUGGGCGUAAAGCGCACGCAGGCGGUCUGUCAAGUCGGAUGUGAAAUCCCCGGGCUCAACCUGGGAACUGCAUUCGAAACUGGCAGGCUAGAGUCUUGUAGAGGGGGGUAGAAUUCCAGGUGUAGCGGUGAAAUGCGUAGAGAUCUGGAGGAAUACCGGUGGCGAAGGCGGCCCCCUGGACAAAGACUGACGCUCAGGUGCGAAAGCGUGGGGAGCAAACAGGAUUAGAUACCCUAGUAGUC
rnacentral:rRNA from 1 species